rnacentral:rRNA from 1 species
AUUGAACGCUGGCGGCGUGCUUAACACAUGCAAGUCGAUCGGUAACAGGUGUAGCAAUACAUGCUGACGAGAGGCGGACGGGUGAGUAAUGCUUGGGAAUCUGCCUAUUAGUGGGGGACAACCCGGGGAAACUCGGGCUAAUACCGCAUACGCUCUACGGAGGAAAGCCGGGGACCGCAAGGCCUGGCGCUAAUAGAUGAGCCCAAGUCGGAUUAGCUAGUUGGUAGGGUAACGGCCUACCAAGGCGACAAUCCGUAGCUGGUCUGAGAGGACGACCAGCCACACCGGAAACUGAGACACGGUCCGGACUCCUACGGGAGGCAGCAGUGGGGAAUAUUGGACAAUGGGGGCAACCCUGAUCCAGCGACGCCGCGUGGGUGAAGAAGGCCUGCGGGUUGUAAAGCCCUUUCGGUGGGGAAGAAAAGUCUCGACCUAAUACGUCGGGACCUUGACGUAACCCACUAAAGAAGCACCGGCUAACUCUGUGCCAG